rnacentral:rRNA from 1 species
UACGGGGGGGGCAAGCGUUGUUCGGAAUUACUGGGCGUAAAGGGCUCGUAGGCGGCUAACUAAGUCAGACGUGAAAUCCCCAGGCUCAACCUGGGAACUGCGUCUGAUACUGAUUGGCUUGAAUCCGGGAGAGGGAUGCAGAAUUCCAGGUGUAGCGGUGAAAUGCGUAGAUAUCUGGAGGAAUACCGGUGGCGAAGGCGGCAUCCUGGACCGGCAUUGACGCUGAGGAGCGAAAGCCAGGGGAGCAAACGGG